GGUGAACGCUGGCGGCGUGCCUAAUACAUGCAAGUCGAGCGAACAGACGAGGAGCUUGCUCCUCUGACGUUAGCGGCGGACGGGUGAGUAACACGUGGAUAACCUACCUAUAAGACUGGUAUAACUUCGGGAAACCGGAGCUAAUACCGGAUAACAUAUUGAACCGUAUGGUUCAAUGGUGAAAGACGGUUUUGCUGUCACUUAUCGACCGAUCCGCGCCGCAUUAGCUAGUUGGUAAGGUAACGGCUUACCAAGGCAACGACGCGUAGCCGACCUGAGAGGGGGAUCGGCCACACUGGAACUGAGACACGGACCAGACUCCUACGGGAGGCAGCAGUAGGGAAUGUUCCGCAAUGGGCGAGAGCCUGACGGAGCGACGCCGCGUGAGUGAUGAAGGUCUUCGGAUCGUAAAACUCUGUUAUUAGGGAAGAACAAAUGUGUAAGUAACUAUGCACGUCUUGACGGUACCUAAUCAGAAAGCCACGGCUAACUACGUG
rnacentral:rRNA from 1 species